rnacentral:rRNA from 1 species
ACGGAAGGCAGCAGUGGGGAAUAUUGCACAAUGGGGGAAACCCUGAUGCAGCGACGCCGCGUGAGUGAAGAAGUAUUUCGGUAUGUAAAGCUCUAUCAGCAGGGAAGAUAAUGACGGUACCUGACUAAGAAGCCCCGGCUAACUACGUGCCAGCAGCCGCGGUAAUACGUAGGGGGCAAGCGUUAUCCGGAUUUACUGGGUGUAAAGGGAGCGUAGGUGGCGUGGCAAGUCAGAAGUGAAAGCCCGGGGCUCAACCCCGGGACUGCUUUUGAAACUGUCAUGCUGGAGUGCAGGAGAGGUAAGUGGAAUUCCUAGUGUAGCGGUGAAAUGCGUAGAUAUUGGGAGGAACACCGGAGGCGAAGGCGGCUCACUGGACGAUUACUGACGUUGAGGCUCGAAAGCGUGGGGAGCAAACAGGAUUAGAUACCCUGGUA